CAGAGGUACUGCUAUCGAGRUUCGACUARGCCAUGCGAGUUGAAUGUUCUUCGUGAACAUGGCGGACUGCUCAGUAACACGUGGACAACCUACCCUUGGGUCCGGCAUAAUCCUGGGAAACUGGGAAUAAUUCCGGAUAGGUCACCGAUGCUGGAAUGCGCGGUGGCCGAAAGCUCCGGCGCCCGAGGAUGGGUCUGCGGCCUAUCAGGGUUGUAGUGGGUGUAACGUACCUACUAGCCUACGACGGGUACGGGUUGUGAGAGCAAGAGCCCGGAGAUGGAUUCUGAGACACGAAUCCAGGCCCUACGGGGUGCAGCAGGCGCGAAAACUUUACAAUGCGGGAAACCGUGAUAAGGGGAUCUCGAGUGCCAGCAUAUAAUGUUGGCUGUCCAGAUGCCUAAAAAGCAUCUGUUAGCAAGGGCCGGGCAAGACCGGUGCCAGCCGCCGCGGUAACACCGGCGGCCCGAGUGGUAACCGCUAUUAUUGGGUCUAAAGGGUCUGUAGCCGGCCAGGUAAGUCCCUUGGGAAAUCUGGCAGCUCAACUGUCAGGCUGCUAGGGGAUACUGUUUGGCUUGGGACCGGGAGAGGUGAGAGGUACCUUGGGGGUAGGGGUGAAAUCUUGUGAUCCUCGAGGGACCACCAGUGGCGAAGGCGUCUCACCAGAACGGGUCCGACGGUAAGGGACGAAAGCUAGGGGCACGAACCGGAUUAGAUACCCGGGUAGUCCUAGCCGUAAACGAUGCUCGCUAGGUGUCAGUCACGGUGCGACCGUGAUUGGUGCCGUAGGGAAGCCGUGAAGCGAGCCACCUGGGAAGUAUGGCCGCAAGGCUGAAACUUAAAGSAAUUGGCGGGGGASCACUACAACGGGUGGAGCCUGCGGUUUAUUG
rnacentral:rRNA from 1 species